GACGAACGCUGGCGGCGUGCUUAACACAUGCAAGUCGAACGGUGAAGCUCCAGCUUGCUGGAGUGGAUCAGUGGCGAACGGGUGAGUAACACGUGAGCAACCUGCCCCUGACUCUGGAAUAAGCGCUGGAAACGGCGUCUAAUACUGGAUACGAGAAGGGCCCGCAUGGGCACUUUCUGGAAAGUUUUUCGGUUGGGGAUGGGCUCGCGGCCUAUCAGCUUGUUGGUGAGGUAAUGGCUCACCAAGGCGACGACGGGUAGCCGGCCUGAGAGGGCGACCGGCCACACUGGGACUGAGACACGGCCCAGACUCCUACGGGAGGCAGCAGUGGGGAAUAUUGCACAAUGGGCGAAAGCCUGAUGCAGCGACGCCGCGUGGGGGAUGACGGCCUUCGGGCUGUAAACCUCUUUCAGCAGGGAAGAAGCGAAAGUGACGGUACCUGCAGAAGAAGCACCGGCUAACUACGUG
rnacentral:rRNA from 1 species